CUCUUAUCGAGAGAGGUGGAGGGAAAGGGCCCUGUGAAACCCGGCAACCAGUAAUAUUACUAAGGUGCCAAUUCCUGCAGAAUUACUGCAAGAUAAGAG
rfam:Clostridium tyrobutyricum DIVETGP, WGS project CBXI01000000 data, contig: NODE_74